CACACUGCCGAGAAAAGCCUCUAGAUAGAAAAUAGGUGCCCGUACCGCAAACCGACACAGGUAGUCAAGAUGAGAAUUCUAAGGUGAGCGAGCGAACUCUCGUUAAGGAACUCGGCAAAAUGACCCCGUAACUUCGGGAGAAGGGGUGCUCUUUAGGGUUAACGCCCAGAAGAGCCGCAGUGAAUAGGCCCAAGCGACUGUUUAUCAAAAACACAGGUCUCUGCUAAACCGUAAGGUGAUGUAUAGGGGCUGACGCCUGCCCG
rnacentral:rRNA from 1 species